CAUUUAGAAUCUAUAAUUUUACAACUUAAAUGGCAAAAAAGAUUGUAGACCUUAUUGCCUGUGGCUCUGAACACGCAUAGUUCAUCAGAAAACAAGCUUUCCAUUGAGGCAAAGGAGUUCAGUUCUGAGCCCCAGUACUAGCCCGCACCCACAGCCACACUUGAAGCUAAAAAAUUCAGAAGUCUGCAACUUAAGCAUGAAGCAUGUAGCAAUCAAUUCCAGAAGGCAUGUAAAUGUCAUUGCAAGAUACUCAACGGCAGCCUAAGCCCGCUAGAAAUGCAAUCUAAUGCAAGAAUUACUGAUGAAAUAAAAGGCCCACAUAACCAUACUUGCAUCUACAAAUACAGAAUGACUUGCAGUCGUGCAUCCCACAUAUAGCCGUACCAGGUGAAAAUAGAUUUUAAACUACAGUGGAAAGUACUAACAUAAAAUCAUAAUCACAUUGCUCUGUUUACAGGUUCUAGCGCUUCAACAGUGACAACACUAUUUCCUCUGAUUACCACCAUGCCUAUGUCAGUUUUCUCAUCACCAUUCACCUCCACAGAGUUGUCAACCACCAGAUUCAUGAAUUGAUCAAAUCCACGAAGUGUUCCAACUACCAUCCUAUUUGCAUUCAGCUUGAUUUGAAGUUUCUUGUCCAUGUACUUCUUGAGAUCUGGUGGCUGGCCUGAUCUGCUCAUGUUGAGCGGCUUCUAUUGACUGUGCUUUACGAGCUACAAAACAAGAAGAAGCACAGAGGCUGGGAAAGGGAGGGAGAGGAAGUAGAUAUGCCCAGGGUUUAGGCAUGGUUUCGUGUUAAUAUCGCAGAAAAAACAAAGGGAUGUUCCGAUGUCGUUUUGAAGGCCAGGCCUCCAUGUGCUGAAAACGAAUGGAGGCCCAAUUGUUUCGUACACAAACAAGCCCAAAAAUCUCGGUCUGUUGAUGAUGCCAAAGUGGAGGUUGCGUGUUUCUCAUCUCGU
rnacentral:misc_RNA from 1 species